UUCCUUACUGUUUUGACUCUGUUUUUUGGUGAUAUGUUUUAUUUUUGUAUUAUUUUUGUCUGUUUCUAUAUCUAUCUAUCUAUACAUACAUACACACCUAUCCAACUCAUGCUAUGCAUAAAUAUACACGAUACAGACACAUUUUGGUGAUGUGAUUUAUUUUUGUAUUAUUUGUCUAAUCUUUAGAAAAUUAGGACUGUCGAGCUUGAUGGGAAGACAAUCAAGCUGCAGAUUGGCAUGGAAAUGGAUGGUAAGUCAUCUGAAGGUAAGGAAAAGGGACCCAUGAAGAGAUCAAAAGGAAGUUUAGGCAGCUUGAAUAUGCUUAUGGGUAAGGAUAAUAGUGAGCCGGGUAAAACAUCUGGAGCAUCUGGGAAUGGAUUUGUCUCCCAAAGUGCAAGUGAAGGUUCCAGUGAAGGAAGUGCAUAUAUGGAAGUGUUCAACUUCAGUAAAAGAUGAGUGCAUAUAUGACUUUGACACACCACAGAAGGCAAGCGGUGGGAAAGAUUCUUUGGAAGGUAGAUUUAUCAAAAAUGUUCCUCCCUGUCAUUACAUGGACAUUUUUCAAUAUUGAGCAGGGUACCAUAAUCUAUGAAUUGCAACUGAGGCGUCUAAGAAUGGGAGUUUCGUCCGUGGUGCUCAGAAUGGUGUGGCUCGCAGUCCAUCACAAACAAUGUUGAAUCAAACAAUGCCUGUCAUGCCAAUGGCAACACUUGUGCUCUUCACUACAGUCUGGGAUUCUUUAGGAUUAACAUAUGAUGUAUCCUUUGAGCUAAGCUAGUUUGAUAGGUUGAAACUUAGGUGGUAUGUGGUCUCAUAACUUCAACUCCUGGCAAGGUUUAUAAAGCUGUUGUGUUGAUGCAUGUAAGAAUGUUCUGAGAGGUUUACAUGACAGCAAGAUUGCCCAAAGGGAGCUGGAUCGGAUUAAGGUAUUGCUGGGGAAGAUUGAGAAAUUCGAUGAUCUGAUUGUUGCCGUUGCUGCCAAAGGGAGGCAGUUGGAGAUAAUAAAGCAUGAUGGCAAACCAUAGCUCUGGAGUUCCAUCAUAUUCUGAUUUUCAUUUCUUUUUUCUUCCUAGUGUCCUGUUUAAGUGAUAGAGGUUAUGAAAUUUUCAAGUAGAGCUGCUGCUGUCAUUAACUUGAAAGAGCAGAUUUGAGAGAGGCCUUUUUCUUUUCUCCUUUUAUGGGAGUUGUUGAUGAUACAGACAAUCUGUUGUUUGGUGGUCAGACUGCCGUUGUAUUGUUUGA